CAUUACAUGAAUUUGUACCUAAGCAACACACGCAGGCCUACAGUUAGAGGUUCUGGGUUCCAAUGCUGCCUCCUACCAGGGUCCGGGGAGGGACGGUGCUCAGCUUCUGGAGACUGCGUUUCCUCUUCUGUGCAGUAGGAAGUGUCAACCCUGGCCUCUGGAUGGGUGGGAGGGCCAGGGUGAAUCCCCCACCCCCGACGGAGCUGCGGCUGGUGGGCUGGUGAGAGGGCAUGACCAGGGCCAGUGGACAGGCCAGCUGAGCACCGGAUCCCACCUGGGUCCAACCCUUGACUUUCUUUCCCAGCAGAGCAGGCGCUGGAACACGUGUCAGGAGAGACGUGAAGAGACUGGUGGAUGUGGCCAUUUGUCCAGGUGUGGUCACUUCUUCAGAUAUGGUCACUUGUCUGGGUACCAUCACUUGUCCAGGUGUCAUCACUUGUCCAGGUCCGGAUCACUUGUCCAGGUCCGGUCACUUGUCCGGGUGCGGUCACUUGUCCCAGUGUGGUCACUUGUCCAGGUGUCGUCACUUGUCCAGGUGUGGUCAUUUGUCCAGGUGCGGUCACUUGUCCCAGUGUGGUCACUUGUCCAGGUGUCAUCACUUGUCCAGGUCCGGUCACUUGUCCGGGUGCGGUCACUUGUCCCAGUGUGGUCACUUGUCCAGGUGUCGUCACUUGUCCAAGUCCGGUCACUUGUCCAGGUGUGGUCACUUGUCCAGGUGGGGUCACUUGUCCAGGUGGGGUCACUUGUCCAGGUCCGGUCACUUGUCCCGGUGCGGUCACUUGUCCAGGUGGGGUCACUUGUCCAGGUGUCGUCACUUGUCCAGGUGUGGUCACAUCUUCAGAUACUGUCCCUUGUCUCGGCAGCAGGCAUGUCUGUGUCACGCACCUGAUGAGCCCCUGGAAUGAGCCUCGUUUGCUUUCUGCUCUGUGUCCCCCCCACUCAGCAGUUACUGCAGACCCUUUUGAGCCCCUGCCCAGCGCCUACCUCUCUCUGAGGACAAGUGCACCCACCCCAUGGUUCUGGGCCAGGGGGUGUUCAUGGCCUGACAGUCUCUGGCGACAGCUAAUCACCCCUUGACGUUGGCCACUCCCCCCGUGGGUCUGGCUUUGGGAUUUGGGGUCCUCCUGGCUUCACUCCAGAGCCUGGGUCUAGUGGCCAGGGUCUCAGCUCGAUUUCUUGGCACAGAUGAAAUGCAGUUGGCACCUUUGUUCUCGGUGGCCAUCCUGCACCCCCGGCACAGGCUCCUUUUGGAAGCAGCUGUUGUGCUGUCCCUCUGUUAGGGUUGAAAGGUGUCCCCCCAAACAGGAUGUUGAGGUCCGAACUCCAGAACCUCACAAUGUGGACGCCUUUGGUGAUAGGGUUGCUGCAGGUACAACUGGUUAAGGCUUGGUCAUCCCGGAGCCGCUAACCCAGCAUGACUGGUGUCCUUUGAAACGGCCGUGUGAGGGUGGGACAGCUAGGGCUGGUGGACGUAGAGGGUGGAGGCACACAGCCACCAGCCAAGGAUCACCAGUGACCCCAGAGGCUGGAAGAAGCAGGACAGACCCUCUGCUACAGGCUGCAUGGCCCAGUCUCUCCCUCGUCACCUGCAUCCCUGUGCCACCAGCUUCCUGACAACCUGGCCUUUCCUGAGGGACGGAGACGAGGGGUUGCAGAGCCAACACGGCUGGGCAAAGUGCCUGGAGAACCAGCUCCUGGCCAGGGGCAGGGAGGACCGACCCUGAUGUCAGCUUGCAGGUCAAACCCCCCUUGGACUGGCCACCUCUGGGAUGGUUAGAGUGAAGGGCUGGGGCAGGGAGGCAGCUCAGCGCGGUUGGCUGGCUCCCGGGGGCAGCUCGGCCAGCAGGAAGGACUGGGUGCCAGGCUCACUCCAUCAAGUGGACACAGCGGUGGGCAGGUCUCAGCUGCGUCUGCUCUCUUGGGAGAACCCAGGUGGCCCCAGGCGAGGCCCUGCCCCCUGCGCCUGACGACCGAGCAGUCCACUUGAGUGGGGUGACAUGUGCGUCACCCCAAAGCAGCUUGGACUCCCCUGCUCCUGUGCCCACCUGGCCCAUGGGGCUGCCCCGCCAGCCAAGGGUCUGACCAUCUGCCUCCACUCAGCAUAUGCCGCUGUUUCAGUCUUUUCUGCCCUUUGCAGUUUCUAGAAAUGAGUGGGAAAUGGGAAAACAAAAGGGCUAAGAACUAAAAGCGCAGCUCUCACAACUUAAAAUAGCCACUCAAUAAAAAUGCAAUUUAAAAAAAGUAGCUGGAGUUGCAGGGGGAGUGGGAGGUCUUCAGCCUUGACCGGCUUUGUCCCUCUGCCCCGCCCCCUGCUUCCGGGGCAGCUCCAUCCCCAGCGGUUUGCACUUGGCCUUCCCCUUGACGCCCACUUUCCUGCACACCCGCAGCUGGCCUGGAGAGCACAACGCAGCACCUCUCACUGCCACUGCCUGCGGGCUUCAGCCUGGGGCGGUUUGCCAGCUUUGCUUCUCCCAGCUUCGAGAACCUGCGUGGUGACAGGUGCCUCCGCCCUGCAGCUGUCUUCACGCCGGUCAGAGCCAAGCCCCCAAGCCCCACUCUAGAUGUGUCCCCCUCCCCUGCCACCUGGCCCCUGGCUCACUUCGUCCUUGCCACGUGGGUCCUCUGCUGCCCCUGAGCUUUCCAGAACCAUCCCCAGUAUCUGCAUGACUCCCCCCUCACGUCCCGCAAACCCUUGCUCAGAUGUCACCUUCUCAGUGAGGUCCCUGAUGUGGCGGGGGUUUCCUGACCCGCUUUGCUUUCCCCGGAACCCUGGUGCCCUGCAGCCCCUCCCCCACUGGCUCGCUACACAAGGACCACCCGGACCAAGGCUGCUGUGUUGUUUCUAUCCGUGAUGUCUGGCUCACUCACCAUACAUCCUGGCGGUGGCAGGGGGUCUUUGCUACAGAGCAAUGUUAAAUCGAGGUGAAGCUGUGUGUUUCAUUACUAAACAAAUCAAAGAACAUGCAAAGAGGAUAAAUGCGACAAACCUGAGUGUCCUGUCCGUUUUUGAUGUCUACACCUUUGAACUGUGUUUAUGUGUUCAGGGACCUGGAACACCUGUAGGGCCCCCCACCCCCGGAUUUCCAGAAAUCAGUAAAAAGGAUCAGAAGAUUACACUUUGCUUAAAAAUAAUUUCCCUAUGUCAAUGCUAUUAAAAGAAAAAAAAACCCAAAACAAAAAAAAACCCUCCCAAACUGCCAAAGGACAUUCUGACGGAAAAUAAUCUCAAUCCUGAAAAAAUAUACAGGCUUUAUCUUCAGAGUAGCAGUUGGUGAACGUAUCUUAAGACGGGCGGAAACAGAAAAUCUUUUUUUCCUGUUGACACGCAUUUGAACAUAGACACAGGAGCCAGGCAUCUCUACUGCUCAGCCUCCAAGGUGUAAGCCCAGCCCGCAUGCCAGGAAAUGUGGGUUCGAACUGCCUCUCUCGCUGACCUUGCUCCCUCCUGGUCUUGGACGGUGAGCAGAGGGCAGCCUGCAUCCCACGGGCGCUAAGCGGGGCCAGCCUCCCAGCGGCGAAGGUACCGCUGCAUUAGGAGGGACCUGCUCUUGGCCACCACGGUUCCCAGAGCUGCUCACAUGGGCUCCUGUCCCUCCUCCCAGCGUCCAGCUUAGAGGUCGAGGGGAAAUGUUGUACCCGUCAGGUCACAGACAGGUGGUCACAGCUGCCAAGGCAGAUUUUGGGAGGCGAGUUCAAGUCCAUAUGUCAGAAAUGUCUGGGAGGAUGUUGUCAGCUACUGUGUACAUACGGCAUCUCCUCCUGGGAGGGCCGCACACGGUGGCGGCUCCCUGCCUUCUCCAUGGAGAGCCACGCCUGCUCCACACCUGUUCUGCACCUGCUUGACACCUGCUCCAUGCAGAUCCACACCUGCUCCACACCUGCUCCACACAUGUUCUGCACCUGCUCUAUACCUGCUCCAGGCAGAUCCACACCUGCUCCAUGCCUGCUCCACACCAGCGCCAUGCAGGUCCAUACCAGCUCGACAUCUGCUCGACACCUGCUCCAGGCAGAACCACACCUGUUCCAGCCCUGCUCCACACCUGCUCCACUGUGUUUAUUUUCUCUGGACUUCUCGAAUUAUGAGCAUCAGAUUCCCUGGCUGGAGGUGAAUUUCUGAUUGUUACCGGAAGCAACUAACACCCUGCCUUUCUUCCACCUACUCAGCUAAUGUGUCACGAUCGCUA
rnacentral:lncRNA from 1 species